UCAGAAGCAUAACUCAGCCUCUCCCUGGGAGGAACGGAAUGAAUAGUCAAGGAGCUGAAUGUCAAGAAUUACCCUGCAGGUGCCCAGGGUAGAAGGAGCCACUUCCUGCUCCUCCCAGAGCCAGGAAUCCCUGGAGCCUAGUCAGGUGGGAGCCUAUAAAACACAUCUCAGGCACCAGUUCCUCAUCCACCCUCAACCUCUGGGACUGGCCGUACACAUCUGGGUCUGACCAGGUUGACUGAAUUCCCACCUAGAUGUCCUGCCAGCAAACCCAGCGGCCUUGCCAGCCUCCUCUAAAAGUGCCCACGACCAAGUGUCCCCCAAAGUGUCCCCAGAAGGGCCCUCCCAAGAUGCCCUGCUCCAGUCUCUUCCUGCUGUGGUCCUGGACCUAGGGCUGCCAUGGCGUCAGCUGACUGGGACAUCAGAGAUCCAGCUGUUUCCACAGCCUUGAGGCUGCUUCCCAGCUGGGCUCUGAGCAUCACCCAAGUAACCAGCAGGCCGAGGACUGGCUCCAGUCCUGUGCUUCUCAUCCUUCAGUCUCGUCCACCCCUCGAUGAGUCUCACCUUGGGGAUAAGACCACACCGGCGCUGCGCUGUGGAAACAGCUGUUGGCACAGAGACUCUGGGCUGGGCUCAAACUUGCUCUCCUGAGGUUUGGAUGUGAUUGCUCUGAAUGAGCCGCUUUGCUACAAUAAAUGUUUUUAAACCCCCUG